UUCCUGAUUUGUUCAUUGUUUGUAGAGGCAUUACUGGGUUUUUUUUUUAAUUUUUAAUUUUUAAUUUUUGUGGGUAUAUAGUAGGUGUAUGUAUUUAUGGAGUACAUGAGAUAUUUUGAUAAGACAUGCAAUGUGUAAUAAUCACAUAGUGGAAAAUAGCAUAUCCAUCCCCUCAAGCAUUUAUCCUUUGUGUUACAAACAAUCCAAUUAUACUCUUAUAGGUUUUGUUUGUUUUUUGAGACACAGUCUUGCUCUGUUGCCCAGGCUGGAGUACAAUGGUGCGAUCUCGGCUCACUGAAACCUCCACCUCCUGGGUUCAAGCAAUUCUCCUGCCUCAGUCUCCCAAGUAGCUGGGAUUACAGGUGCCUGCCACCAUGCCCAGCUAAUUUUUUUGUAUUUUUAGUAGAGACGGGGUUUCACAAUGUUGGCCAGGCUAGUUUCGAACUCCUGACCUCAAGUGAUCAACCUGCCUCAACUUCCCAAAGUGGUAGGAUUACAGGCAUGAGCCACUGCACCUGGCCUCUUAUAGUUAUUUUUAGAUGUACAAUUAAAUUAUUUUUAACCGCAGUCACUGUGCCCAGCGUCUUAUAGUUACUUUUAGAUGUACAAUUAAAUUAUUUUUGACCAUAGUCACUGCACCCGGACUCUUAAUAGUUAUUUUUAGAUGUACAAUUAAAUUAUUAUUGACCACAGUCACCGGACAUUACUGUUUUUAAUGCUCUGCAUCUAUUCCCUUUCCUUCUGUUGAAAAAACUCUGGUUUUCUCCUGGGGACUCACUCCUCUCUCAGUCUCAGUCCAUUUGCUUUGGUUGGACCUACUUCUACUCCUCCUGCCCUCUCCCCGAGUUCUAGGGCAGUUGCAGGACUCUGGACUGGCUGAGGAGAGGAUCAAUAGCCUUUGGCCAGAUUAAUUGGUUCAGUAAUGAGCACAUGAUGCAAUUUGGACCAAUAAGAAUCAGGCCCAAGACUUCUGUUUGCAAUUUAGAAGAUAGUUUCUCUUUCUUAUCUUUAACUCUGGGGGAUAAAAGCCUGAAGUUCAUGGAAGUCAUCUAGUGAAGAAGGCUUAUUGAAGGUGAUGACAAGGUGGUAUCUAGUGAUAGAUGAAAAGAAACCAGGACCUAAGGCACUGCUUAGGUACCUGGAACCAUCCUACCUGAAGCUUGACUCCUCUUUUGUUAAGCCAUAGGUUUUUGACCCAUAAGUUACUGGGUUUUUUUUCUAUCCCAUGAAUAUAUUUUUUAUUUUCUUAAAGUCCUUUAAUAAUUUUCUUCCAGAAAGACUGCAGGGGUAUACUUCAAAAUACUCAUAUGUCCAAGUGUUUCAAUUCUAGAGGCUUGCUGUCUUUGUCAUUUCAUAGCUCGCCUUGGGAAGCUUAAGGUACUGUGACCGAGCUUUCAUGGAAAUCAGGAAGAUUCUGAGAGAAUCCAAAUGUGACCAUCUGGGAGAGUUAAGAGAAGAAAAUACACCAUGUGGAGAGACAAGGACUGCCACUCCUGGAGUUCCAAAUGGACAGAAGGAGAGAGCUUCCUCGCAUCUUUGGGAAAAUCCUAUCUACAUAGCAUAAAUGCCCCAUACUCCACCCUGGAAGAGGCUAAUCAGGGGCACCUCCUCAUGGGUGCCAGAUAUUAGAAGAUUUUACAGGCUCCAUUGCGGCAGAAGGUAAUCAAAAAGGCCCAAGCCCCACCCUACAGAGAGCAGCAGCAUGACCUUAAACUGCCUUUGCUGGUCACUUGGAGAGGGAGGGUCCAUUUUCCUCAGUGGGCAACAAAGCCGCUGAUAAUCAGGUGCACACAUGACGUGGAUGUAACCUGCUGAGGAAGUGUCUGAUAUACCAAAGGAGCCAGGACUCACAACAAGCCUGGCCAGGAAAAAGAAGCCUCAGAGAACCCCAGAGCAGCCUCUACUUUGUAGAUGAUAUGAGUAAAUACAACGCAGACAGCCACUUAGCAAGUUCAGAGCCACUUCCAAACGACGCUGAGGGCCUGGUGUCAGCUCCUGCACAGCAGGCUCCAUUCUCUCCCCUUCAGGCUGUGUGCAUGUUCACUCCAGUGAGUCACAAAGACACAUUCCCAGGUGCGCACCUGGCCAAAAGCACAGAAGAGGAAGUCGCACAUGUGACCAUCCUCUGCCAACCAGCCCACGUGUACAGCAGAAAUCAGUAUUGUUUGCCUCUGUAAUAAAAUCAUUGCAUAAAUUUUGUAGAGCUUUGAAUCGGCCUCGUAAGUGUCACCAGGCAACUCUUCCAAGAAGGGUAGGGGGAUGGUGAGGUAGA
rnacentral:lncRNA from 10 species